UACAGAGGUCUCAAGCGUUGUUCGGAUUCAUUGGGCGUAAAGGGUGCGUAGGCGGUCGGGUAAGUCAGAUGUGAAAUUCCGUGGCUCAACCUCGGAACUGCAUUUGAUACUGCUUGGCUAGAGUCUUAUAGAGGAGACUGGAAUUUACGGUGUAGCAGUGAAAUGCGUAGAUAUCGUAAGGAAGACCGGUUGCGGAAGCGAGUCUCUGGAUAAUGGCUGACGCUGAGGCACGAAGGCUAGGGGAGCAAACGGG
rnacentral:rRNA from 1 species